UGGGGAAUAUUGCGCAAUGGGCGGAAGCCUGACGCAGCGACGCCGCGUGGGGGAUGAAGGCCUUCGGGUUGUAAACCCCUUUCAGCAGGGACGAAGCGUGAGUGACGGUACCUGCAGAAGAAGCGCCGGCUAACUACGUGCCAGCAGCCGCGGUAACACGUAGGGCGCGAGCGUUGUCCGGAAUUAUUGGGCGUAAAGAGCUCGUAGGCGGCCUGUUGCGUCCGCUGUGAAAGCCCGGGGCUUAACCCCGGGUCGGCAGUGGAUACGGGCAGGCUAGAGGUAGGUAGGGGAGAAUGGAAUUCCCGGUGUAGCGGUGAAAUGCGCAGAUAUCGGGAGGAACACCGGUGGCGAAGGCGGUUCUCUGGGCCUUACCUGACGCUGAGGAGCGAAAGCGUGGGGAGCGAACAGGAUUAGAUACCCCCGUAGUCC
rnacentral:rRNA from 1 species